rnacentral:rRNA from 1 species
UCAGAACGAACGCUGGCGGCAGGCUUAACACAUGCAAGUCGAACGAGAUCUUCGGAUCUAGUGGCGGACGGGUGAGUAACGCGUGGGAACGUGCCUUUCACUACGGAAUAGUCCUGGGAAACUGGGUUUAAUACCGUAUACGCCCUUCGGGGGAAAGAAUUUCGGUGAAAGAUCGGCCCGCGUUGGAUUAGGUAGUUGGUGGGGUAAUGGCCUACCAAGCCGACGAUCCAUAGCUGGUUUUAGAGGAUGAUCAGCCACACUGGGACUGAGACACGGCCCAGACUCCUACGGGAGGCAGCAGUGGGGAAUCUUAGACAAUGGGGGAAACCCUGAUCUAGCCAUGCCGCGUGAGUGACGAAGGCCCUAGGGUCGUAAAGCUCUUUCAACGGUGAAGAUAAUGACGGUAGCCGUAGAAGAAACCCCGGCUAACUCCGUGCCAGCAGCCGCGGUAAUACGGAGGGGGUUAGCGUUGUUCGGAAUUACUGGGCGUAAAGCGCGCGUAGGCGGAUUGGAAAGUUGGGGGUGAAAUCCCGGGGCUCAACCCCGGAACUGCCUCCAAAACUAUCAGUCUAGAGUUCGAGAGAGGUGAGUGGAAUUCCGAGUGUAGAGGUGAAAUUCGUAGAUAUUCGGAGGAACACCAGUGGCGAAGGCGGCUCACUGGCUCGAUACUGACGCUGAGGUGCGAAAGUGUGGGGAGCAAACAGGAUUAGAUACCCUGGUAGUCCACACCGUAAACGAUGAAUCCCAGUCGUCGGGUAGCAUGCUAUUCGGUGACACACCUAAC